GCAAGUCGAACGUGAAGCUCCAGCUUGCUGGAGUGGAAAGUGGCGCAAGGGUGAGUAACGCGUGAACAAUCUGCCCUGAAGUUCGGGAUAGCCCAUGGAAACGUGGAUUAAUACCGGAUGUGGCGGUCAGUCUAUGGCUGACUUGCUAAAGAUUUAUUGCUUCAGGAUGAGUUCGCGUACCAUCAGCUUGUUGGUGAGGUAACGGCUCACCAAGGCGACGACGGUUAGGUGGUCUGAGAGGACGAUC
rnacentral:rRNA from 1 species